rnacentral:rRNA from 1 species
GCCUAACACAUGCAAGUCGAGCGCUACCUUCGGGUGGAGCGGCGGACGGGUUAGUAACGCGUGGGAAUAUACCCUUCACUAUGGAAUAGCCUCGGGAAACUGAGAGUAAUACCAUAUACGCCCUUCGGGGGAAAGAUUUAUCGGUGAAGGAUUAGCCCGCGUAAGAUUAGAUAGUUGGUGGGGUAAUGGCCUACCAAGUCUACGAUCUUUAGCUGGUUUUAGAGGAUGAUCAGCAACACUGGGACUGAGACACGGCCCAGACUCCUACGGGAGGCAGCAGUGGGGAAUCUUAGACAAUGGGCGCAAGCCUGAUCUAGCCAUGCCGCGUGAGUGAUGAAGGUCUUAGGAUCGUAAAGCUCUUUCGCUAGGGAUGAUAAUGACAGUACCUAGUAAAGAAGCCCCGGCUAACUCCGUGCCAGCAGCCGCGGUAAUACGGAGGGGGCUAGCGUUGUUCGGAAUUACUGGGCGUAAAGCGUACGUAGGCGGAUCAGAAAGUAUGGGGUGAAAUCCCAGGGCUUAACCCUGGAACUGCCUCAUAAACUCCUGGUCUUGAGUUCGAGAGAGGUGAGUGGAAUUCCAAGUGUAGAGGUGAAAUUCGUAGAUAUUUGGAGGAACACCAGUGGCGAAGGCGGCUCACUGGCUCGAUACUGACGCUGAGGUACGAAAGUGUGGGGAGCAACAGGAUUAGAUACCCUGGUAGUCACACCGUAAACGAUGAAUGCCAGUCGUCGGGCAGUAUACUGUUCGGUGACACACCUAACGGAUUAAGCAUUCCGCCUGGGGAGUACGGUCGCAAGAUUAAAACUCAAAGGAAUUGACGGGGGCCCGCACAAGCGGUGGAGCAUGUGGUUUAAUUUGAAGCAACGCGCAGAACCUUACCAACCCUUGACAUGCCUGGACAAUCCGAGAGAUCGGACUUUCCUUUGGGACCAGUGCACAGGUGCUGCAUGGCUGUUGUCAGCUCGUGUCGUGAGAUGUUCGGUUAAGUCCGGCAACGAGCGCAACCCACAUCUUUAGUUGCCAGCAGGUUAAGCUGGGCACUCUAGAGAAACUGCCCGUGAUAAGCGGGAGGAAAGUGUGGAUGACGUCAAGUCCUCAUGGCCCUUACGGGUUGGGCUACACACGUGCUACAAUGGCAGUGACAAUGGGUUAAUUCCAAAAAGCUGUUUCAGUUUGGAUUGGGGUUUGCAACUUGACCCCAUGAAGUUGGAAUCGCUAGUAAUCGCGUAACAGCAUGACGCGGUGAAUACGUUCCCGGGCCUUGUACACACCGCCCGUCACACCAUGGGAGUUGGUUUUACCCGACGACGCUGCGCUAACCCUUCGGGGAGGCAGGCGGCCCCGGUAGGAUCAGCGACUGGGGUGAAGUCGUAACAAGGUAGCCGUA